rnacentral:lncRNA from 1 species
GAGGGAGCCAGAGGCCAAGAAGGCCUGGGGCUGGGUGAAGCCUGCAGCUCCGUGGCCUCCAGGCCAUAAAAAAUGCAGUGGGGAGGAAACGGCCCCACAGUGGAGCUAUUUAGGCCCGGCUUCAUUUCAAAGACCUUGUUUCCACUUCGUUCUCAAACUUAUUUUUCUAAACAAGUACUUUUGAUCAGCUGGAAUGUUGGACUUCUCUUUGGGCUUGGGACUCCUCGAGCCUACACAAUCAGCAUGUCCACGAAGCUGUCCUUCACAGCGGGGACCUUGGUGAAGGACGGAGAAGCUGGAGCAAGAAUCCAAGAGAUGGAGAAGUAUCAAAACCAGGAAGGAGAAGGCUGGUUACUUAGGUGAUGCCAAACUCAGGACGCUCUGACUUGAGCUGAAGGUAGGCAUGAAAGAUUCCUCCUGAACUACAGGAAAGAGAGGCAGGGCCGGAUGACAUCCCAUUUUAGGCCCAAGAGGACCUGCUGAAAGCCACCUACCUCUUCCUCAUUUACUAGCGAGAAGGCUAAACCUAGAGAAGGAAGGGUCUUGCCCAGGUUAUCCAGUAAAGAUUUACCACCAGAUCAGAGCUCUCCUCACCUGGACUCUCAUCUACAGUUAUGGGUAUUAAACUGAGACUCUGCCCAGAGAGCAGCUAGCACUGGGCCUCCAUGCCUGCUGCCUCAAGUCUAGCUGGACCGUAGUCUGCAGCUACAUGGGUAUGCAGAGCAGGGGUCCAUGUCACUAGAAGGCACCAGAAGUUUCCUUCCCACUGACCCACUGACCCAAUGUUAGGUUCAUUUCUGUUCCUGCCUGUCAGGCCAGACCCUGCUGCCAUGCCUCAAUGUCUCCGGGGACCACAAAUCUGUUAGCUCUCAGUGCUUCUGGGGAAAUGAGGAACUUUCCACGAAGCCCAUGCAAAUGUACACUAAAAUCAGGUUCAACAUCUCUGACAAAAGCUGACACACCUUCAGAUAUUGCUUCCCUCUCUGCUUGGCCUGAGUCACUUGAACUUGUGACUUGGUGAAAGUGAGUGAGGAGGGGGCAAAUGAAGUGGGGGAGGGGAGGAGAAGGGGG